UACGGAGGGGGCUAGCGUUGUUCGGAAUUACUGGGCGUAAAGCGCGCGCAGGCGGUUCUUCAAGUCAGAGGUGAAAGCCCAGAGCUCAACUCUGGAAUGGCCUUUGAGACUAGAGAACUUGGGUACGGGAGAGGUGAGUGGAAUUCCGAGUGUAGAGGUGAAAUUCGUAGAUAUUCGGAAGAACACCAGUGGCGAAGGCGGCUUACUGGCCCGUUACCGACGCUCAGGCGCGACAGCGUGGGGAGCAAACAGG
rnacentral:rRNA from 1 species